rnacentral:rRNA from 1 species
GAUGAACGCUGGCGGCGUGCCUAACACAUGCAAGUCGAGCGAACAGAUGAGGAGCUUGCUCCUCUGACGUUAGCGGCGGACGGGUGUGUAACACGUGGAUAACCUACCUAUAAGACUGGGAUCAUUUCGGGAAACCGGCGCUAAUACCGUAUAAUAUCUUGCACCGCAUGGUUCAAUAGUGAAAUACGGUUUUUCUGUCACUUAUAGAUGGUUCCGCGCCGUAUUAGCUAGUUGUGACGGUAACGGCUUAUCAAGGCAACGAUGCGUAGCCGACCUGAGAGAGUGGUCGGCCACACUAGAGCGGGGACACGGUCAAGGCGACUACGGGAGGGAGCAGUAGGGAAUGUGACGCAGUGGGCGAGAGCAUGACGGAGCAGCGCGGCGUGAGUGAUGAAGAUGUUCGGAUCGGAAAACUGUGUUAUUAGGGGAGAACAAAUGUGUAAGGAAAUGUAGACGGCUUGACGGUACCUGAUAAGAAAGCCACGGCUAACUACGUG